rnacentral:rRNA from 1 species
UACGGGAGGCAGCAGUGGGGAAUAUUGCACAAUGGGCGAAAGCCUGAUGCAGCUAUGCCGCGUGUAUGAAGAAGGCCUUAGGGUUGUAAAGUACUUUCAUCGGGGAGGAAAAACAAAACUAAUAAUUUUAUUUCUUGACGUUACCCGAAAAAGAAGCACCGGCUAACUCCGUGCCAGCAGCCGCGGUAAUACGGAGGGUGCUAGCGUUAAUCAGAAUUACUGGGCGUAAAGAGCACGUAGGUGGUUUUUUAAGUCAGAUGUGAAAUCCCUGGGCUUAACCUAGGAACUGCAUUUUGAAACUGAAAUACUAGAGUAUCGUAGAGGGAGGUAGAAUUCUAGGUGUAGCGGUGAAAUGCGUAGAUAUCUGGAGGAAUACCUGUGGCGAAAGCGGCCUCCUAAACGAAUACUGACACUGAGGUGCGAAAGCGUGGGGAGCAAACGAGGGAUUAGAUACC